ensembl:lncRNA
AUCCACAUCCUUAAGCAGCGUGCUCAAGAGGAGAAUUUCUUCUUCUGCAGCUGCUGUUUUUCUACUCAUAUACUGAACAAGAAAAACCAUGCAAAACAAACAGAGGUUGUUUUGUUUCGCUGGCAAGGAGGCACUGAGGCAUUAGUCUGCCAGACAGAGAUAUUCUUGAGAAGACAUCUGUUCCCAGGAAGGAAGCACCACCGGUCAUUUGAUCAGUAUCUGCUCAAGUACUCCACACCACGGUGCUGAAGGUCUCUGGGUUCAGUUCUGAGGAUGAUGCAGCAGAGACCACCGGUUCCUCCAGAUCCUUUUGUUCUCUCUCAACUAUCACUGUGACUUGGAGGCAACCUGAAAGUGAACACUGUGACUCCAACCUUGCUGCAACACAGAGUGAAGGAGACCAGAGGACAUCCUAUCACUCCUCCAGUUCCUACUGCAGGCAGCCCACGGGAGCAGACCCAGCCUGCAAUAGUGAUUCCUUCCACCUCUACGUUCCUUUCAAGGCAGGCAGGCAGGUUCCUUCUGCCCUGUGCUUUCAACACAGUUUCCAUAUUGCACAGAUUGCCAGUUACCAGCAAUCUCUGCGUAGUUUUCACAUCCUAUAUGCUAAGCAUUAACAGGUGACCUCAAAUCCAAGGCAAAUCUCCCACAUUAAGUAUAACCCAGUACUACAGAUUAGCAUAAUUUCCUGCAGCUCUGCUGAUGAUAGUAAAAAUUAAUACAUCUUAAUAUAUCAGCAAAGCUUGCCAUAGAAGCUGAGGAAUGGGAUCUGCUGUGUCCCAUGCGAGGUUUAUUUUAGAUUUAUACUUGAGAAUGGAGUUGAUCCACAGCAGUCGACUCCAAUUCACCUCUCUAUGGAUAGAUUUUCAGUCGUCAUCUACAACCCAGGCCAGCUGCGCAACCAAGUAGUGAUCUGUACACAGAUGCUUCAUUAUGUGCAGAAAUGAGCAAGAAGUUCAGAAGACAUCUCAGCUGGAAGCUAUCCAUGCCUGUCUGUCUCAUGAUUAGAGGAAACCUGGGAAGUUCAAAUGCAAAACCAAAACAAAGUGUCUGAAGAGACUCACCAGCUCGCUCUGUCCUGCAGUAUAUCCAGAGGCAACAAACUGCGUCAAGAACACAAGAUGAGUUGAAACUGUGUGAGAGCUAAAAUGAUCUGCGGAAAUAAAUCGAUGCAGACAAACCUGUGUUAAGGAGCCACAUGAGAGAUUAGAAAAGAUCAGUAGCUUAACAAGAAGUUUUUGAGGAACAGAAAUAUUAAUCAUACUUAUUAUGCUUUGCAAUGCCUUUAAGGCAGAGCUCGCCUAACGGAGGUGCUGCAUUCCCAUUGAUUUCCCCGUAAGGUCCAUGAUGUGUGAAAAAUUGAGGAGCUGCAAUGAAAAAUUAUUUGCCAGCUAGAUUGGAAAGUUAGCUUUGCAAAAGUAACUUGUAUGCAACUUACGUAAAGCAGGAGAAAAACGUAACGUUCAUGACAGGGUAAGGAAAACAGCUUGGAGUAAUGUGCAAAGCUUGUAAAGCAGGUUGGGUUUCCACAACCAAACUAAGGAAAUUACAAUCACAUCUGCAAAGAUUUCUUCCCACCUGGGCAACCCUUCAAGCUCACGUCGUUGGGAAUUUUCUGUGCCAAGCAGAGGGAGGAUGACUUACUGGGUGCUUGUGUAUUCAUGGCAAAACAGAAGGAGAGGAAAAGGAAACAUUCUCCAUCUUCAGAAAGUUACAGUGGAAAGGGACUGCUGUUCUUCUUCAGCGCAAAGGAACGGUGUUGUUUUCACUUAGCAUCCAAAAUGCUUACAUUUCAGAGCCAGGACAGGAUUUUAUUUGUGGAAAUCAAAACCCAUUAUUGUGUGUGCACACUUACAAAAACUCACCACCUCUGGAGUGAAAUGUGGCAGCUGUUUCACAAAUAAGAAGCAAUUUCCACUGAUGAAAUGCAGGCAGUGCAGCAGAUAAUAGCCUAGCCUACUGCCUUACAAACCUUCCUCUUUUGGAGAUUCUUUCUUUUUUUCCUCCCCUCUCUCCCUUUGAUGGAAACCACCUUUCCAUCAGACUCAGCAGACUAACUGGGAUUUCAAACAUCCUAGGAGUGGCAGCGUGUCCCCCAGACACGUAUCCACAUGCAUAAUGUGUUUGCUGUGUUUUCCAGCCAGCAGAUGGUUGCCUGGUUGUAUUCAAUCAAAGUGUUUUUGCUACUAAGUGCCCUGAUUUUUCCACAGAAAAAUAACCCAGAUGGAGGUCACAAAUGCAGAACCACGGUGCCUCACCCAAGCCUUCCUCUCCUGUACCAUCAGUAGAGAAAUGUUAUUUACAAAAGCACCUGCCUUUCCAGGCAUGCUGUACCCUGUAGGUAUCCAAUACCCCUGUGCUGAAGCGCCUGCCUUGAAUUAAAAGAAAGCUACCCCAUCUUUCGCUCAGCUUUUAGCCCCUUCCACCUUGUAACAAGAUGGCAGUGUACCAGUUAUUAAAACCUAACACAAUAAUAGCCAGCAAUACUUUCCUUGCCUCAGCUGUUUGUAAGAUGAAAUACUGGCACUUCCCCACAAGGCUUUAUCCCUUCUGAAAUCCUACUCAGCGUUCUGGACUGACAGACAUUGAGCCCCAGAGGAAUUUCUACUGAGACUACAUGCAGAUGCUCCAGCACUAACAAAGCCUGCUCACUGUGUAAUAACGCACACUAUUGCCCUGAUGCCAGGAUGUCAUAGGAGCUCUGCGUGAUGGUAAGCCUGGGGUGCUGUGCUCCACUGAUGCACACAACUGAAGAAAAGGAAAGAGGACAAAUAUUUGUACCACUCCUGUGACCACGAAGACCAAAGCGAUGACCAAAUUCCUGGGAGGUGCAUGUUUGAAGAAGGCUCAUUUCAACAACUGAGAAUAAUGCAUUUUCCAAUUUCUCAGUGCAGAAAGCCUGAUAUAUCCACCUACCUCCUUAAGUGCAGUGAGUGGCCUGCACUGAGCUCUGCAUUUCUGCAGCCACCUCACUAUCAGGAUCUGUGCUAGAAAGUCACAGCAAAUUCAGGUAUAGCCACAGAUCUUCCUUACAGAUACACCUUGUCACCCAAGGCAAAAACACCUCAGCUCACAUCUCUCACCACUGAGCAGCAGCAGCCCAAGUUGAGCGAUCAUCUCGGCUGGUGUACUUUGUCACCCUGAUGUGCACUCGCAGAGAGAAGCCACCCUGGGCAUAGGGUUUAUUACUGCACACAGCCUCGCCGCUGUGGAACCAGCUAUCACUUACCCAGCCCCCUCGUGCUUUCCUUUUCCUGCCAGCAUUAAAAUUGUCGGAUUGGCAUUUU